UACAGAUUGUGCGAGCGUUAAUCGGAAUUACUGGGCGUAAAGCGUGCGUAGACGGUUAUUUAAGUCGGGUGUGAAAGCCCCGGGCUCAACCUGGGAAUUGCAUUCGAGACUGAAUAGCUAGGGUACGGUAGAGGGAAGCGGAAUUUCCGGUGUAGCGGUGAAAUGCGUAGAUAUCGGAAGGAACAUCAGUGGCGAAAGCGGCUUCCUGGACCAGUACCGACGUUCAGGCACGAAAGCGUGGGGAGCAAACAGGAUUAGAAACCCCUGUAGUCC
rnacentral:rRNA from 1 species